rnacentral:rRNA from 1 species
UACAGAGGUCUCAACCGUUGUUCGGAUUCAUUGGGCGUAAAGGGUGCGUAGGCGGCGGGGUAAGUCAGGUGUGAAAUCUCGGGGCUCAACCCCGAAACUGCACUUGAUACUGCCUCGCUUGAGUACUGGAGAGGAGACGUGGAAUUCCUGGUGUAGCGGUGAAAUGCGCAGAUAUCGUGGAGAACACCCGUGGCGAAGGCGGGCUUCUGGCGUAAUUACUGACGCUGAGGUGCGAAAGCUAGGGGAGCGAAACGGG